rnacentral:rRNA from 1 species
UACAGAGGUCUCAACCGUUGUUCGGAUUCACUGGGCGUAAAGGGUGCGCAGGCGGCCGUGUGUGUGAGGCGUGAAAGCCCGGGGCUUAACCCCGGAAUUGCACCACAAACUACACGGCUAGAGCAUUGGAGAGGGUAGCAGAAUUCACGGUGUAGCAGUGAAAUGCGUAGAUAUCGUGAGGAAUACCAGAGGCGAAGGCGGCUACCUGGACAAUUGCUGACGCUCAGGCACGAAAGCGUGGGGAGCAAAAGGG